rnacentral:rRNA from 1 species
AUUGCAGGCUGNAACCCGCCUGCAUGAAGUCGGAAUUGCUAGUAAUCGCGGAUCAGCAUGCCGCGGUGAAUACGUUCCCGGGCCUUGUACACACCGCCCGUCACACCAUGGGAGCCGGUAAUACCCGAAGUCAGUAGUCCAACCACGUGAGGACGCUGCCGAAGGUAGGAUUGGCGACUGGGGUGAAGUCGUAACAAGGUAGC